UACGAAGGGGGCUAGCGUUGUUCGGAAUUACUGGGCGUAAAGCGCGCGCAGGCGGUCUUCCAAGUCAGUGGUGAAAGCCCGGAGCUCAACUCCGGAACUGCCAUUGAAACUGUAAGACUUUGAGGAUGAGAGAGGUGAGUGGAAUUCCCAGUGUAGAGGUGAAAUUCGUAGAUAUUGGGAAGAACACCGGUGGCGAAGGCGGCUCACUGGCUCAUAUCUGACGCUCAGGCGCGACAGCGUGGGGAUCAAACAGG
rnacentral:rRNA from 1 species